UAGGGAAUAUUGGACAAUGGGUGAGAGCCUGAUCCAGCCAUGCCGCGUGCAGGAAGAAGGCGUUAUGCGUUGUAAACUGCUUUUUGCCAGGGGAUAAAAUGACCGUGCGCGGUUAAUUGAAGGUACCUGGUGAAUAAGCCACGGCUAACUACGUGCCAGCAGCCGCGGUAAUACGUAGGUGGCAAGCGUUGUCCGGAUUUAUUGGGUUUAAAGGGUGCGUAGGUGGCCCUGUAAGUCAGUGGUGAAAUAUCUCAGCUUAACUGAGAGGGUGCCAUUGAUACUGCAGGGCUUGAGUACAGAUGAGGUAGGCGGAAUUGACGGUGUAGCGGUGAAAUGCAUAGAUAUUGUCAAGAACACCGAUAGCGAAGGCAGCUUACCAAGCUGUAACUGACACUGAGGCACGAAAGUGUGGGGAUCAAACAGGAUUAGAUACCCCCGUAGUCCCUGAGCGGGCUGGCAAGGCGCAU
rnacentral:rRNA from 1 species